rnacentral:lncRNA from 1 species
GAGGCCAGCUGCCAUGCCAUAAAGACAUUCAGGCAGCUGAUGGAGAUACUGACCUGAUGUUGAGCUAUGGCUUCCUACCAUUAACAAGCAUUAACCUGACAAGGAUGUGAGUGAGCCACCUUGGAAGUCCAUCCUCCAGUCCCAGUCAAGUCUUUAGAUGACUACAGCCUCAGCUGAGAAUCUGAGCAUAAUAUCAUGAGAGUCUUGAAGCUAGAACUACUCAGCCAAGCUGCUUCUGAAUUCCUAACUCACAAAAACUCCAAUGACCGGUGAUGCAGAGUAAUGCUGGCCCAGUUCCUUUGCUUUGAUUUAUGACAAUAUGAAGAAUUAUUUCAAUUCCAGAGCUCUUCACAAUGUUUGCUGAGGUCCUUUGGCAAUUUCUCUUUUUACGCAAUGCUGCUUCCUUUAGUGCCAGGUAAUCAUCCUGUGAGAAUUCUCAUUAACAUUCUCUCAUCUCAGAGGCUUGGUUUGAGAGAAACCAAUCUUGACAGAGAAAGAAGAGGCUCUUCAUCUUAGUCUGACUGUUGUACAAGCAACUUUGAUGCUUGGCUUCUGUGAGCCAACAAAUAAAGUUCAUUCAUAUCAACUGUGGCAGACCAAGACUUACAGAACCAGCGGCAGACAUCCAGAGGAGAAUCUCAGUCACAGCCCUUGGGAUUUUAAGGGAAAGUGAAAGUAAAAUUGUCCUUUUAACUAAUAGCUCUUUUCAUGCUAUGGGGCCAUGGUAGGGACUAAAUGCAUGUUGACCACUUAUUUGUUUACCAUGUGACCUGAAC